rnacentral:rRNA from 1 species
GACGAACGCUGGCGGCGUGCCUAAUACAUGCAAGUUGAGCGAUGAAGAUUGGUGCUUGCCCCAAUUUGAAGAGCAGCGAACGGGUGAGUAACGCGUGGGGAAUCUGCCUUUGAGCGGGGGACAACAUUUGGAAACGAAUGCUAAUACCGCAUAAUAACUUUAAACAUAAGUUUUAAGUUUGAAAGAUGCAAUUGCAUCACUCAAAGAUGAUCCCGCGUUGUAUUAGCUAGUUGGUGAGGUAAAGGCUCACCAAGGCGAUGAUACAUAGCCGACCUGAGAGGGUGAUCGGCCACAUUGGGACUGAGACACGGCCCAAACGCCUACGGGAGGCAGCAGUAGGGAAUCUUCGGCAAUGGACGAAAGUCUGACCGAGCAACGCCGCGUGAGUGAAGAAGGGUUUCGGAUCGUAAAACUCUGUUGGUAGAGAAGAACGUUGGUGAGAGUGGAAAGCUCAUCAAGUGACGGUAACUACCCAGAAAGGGACGGCUAACUACGUG